UUCACACUCCUAGUCCUAGUCGUCAAACACUAAAAUCCCACAUAUUUUCCCUUUCACUCUCUUUCCUCCUCUCUUCCUCCCCCUUUGCCUUCUCCUCCUCUCUUCACCCCAAAUCGCCGACUUCUCAUUCCGUUCGCCAUAUCCAAAUUCUUAACUCUAACCCUAUUUCGAAUCACAAUUCAAUACUCUAACACUAACAACUAACAAACCCUAGCAGAGAGAAAGCAAUUGUGAAAUCUAAUGGUUGGGAAAAUUUUUGCUCGCGAGAGCUACUAGAGCUUCAGCGAACAUCAAUGGCGGAAACAAACGCUUCUAUGGAGGACAAGAAGCAUGCUGAGCAAUCUACUCGCUUCAAUUAAGGUUAUAGGCUAGUGGUUUACUUGGCAAAUCGGUAGUCUGAUGCACGUUCUAAAGAGAGGAAAGCUCGAUACAUGUUGGACUUGGAGUGGAAAGUACAGACUCUUUAAACUGAAGCAACCACCCUUUCUGCACAACUCACCUUGUAUCGGGUAUUUUGCUGAUAUCACACCAUCAGUAAUGUAAAAGAUCUGCUCUUAAAUUUAGAUCCACUUGUUCUUUCAUUUAGAUUACGGAGUACAAGGUUUUAGGAUCUGGAAAUUAAAAGUACUUCAAGGAUUCUCUUGUGUGAACUUGUUGUGCUUACGUUUCUUUUAAGAAUUUAUUGUUUAGAGGGACACAACUGGCUUGACAUAUGAAAACACAAAACUUAAGCUUCGGUUACAAGCUAUGGAACAACAAGCUCAGUUGCGAGAUGCACUCAAUGAAGCAUUAAAGCAGGAAGUGGAGAGGCUUAGAAUGGCCACAGGAAAAAUGAUGGGUCCUUCAGAAUCAUUUAACUUAGGGAAAUAAUAAUAACUUGUACCAUAUGCAUUCAUCCAAUUCCUAGGCCAAAACCAACCCUUCAGAAUUUAUGCCGAAUGAUCCCUUGGGAAGAUUACAAGGGCUUGACAUUGGCAGCUGAGGAACACCCGCUGUGAAAUCUGAAGGUAGCUCGAUGUCUGCCAGUGAAAGUAGCACAACAUUUUGACGUGAUAUUGAGGCUUUCUUUGGUGAUCAUUAUCACUUUUUGGAGCCUUCAAUUGGGUGAUAACACUUCAAUUUUGUAGCUAAAUUUCAUGAUUUCUCUAACCAAAUCCAUACUAUUCUAAUGAUGUUAGAUGAAAUUUGCUGAGAAUUUUAACAAGAAGUCAUAAGUACAUGUAUAUAGAAGAGUAUAAAAAUCAAGUAGUAACAGUGUGUAAUACAGGAUUUGUCUAGCAUUUACAUGA